rnacentral:lncRNA from 1 species
CGUUCCUUCUGAAUAAGCUCUUGUGAGUCACAAGAUCCUCUGAUGAGCAAAUAAUAAGAGGGGAGAAAAGGGGCAGCAGAAUGAGGAACAGAGAGAAGGAUCUUGAUUGCUCUCUAAAUGCAUAUUAAAUGCUAUGUGCUCAAAUUCAAUCUCAAUUAACCAGAAUUCAAUUAUCUAGAAAUAUUAUUCAAAUAAACUAAAAUGACUUUUUUAUUCACUCUAGCCCCUGGACAAAGAGAAGAUUCAUUAUGGGAAAAUGACCAAUUCCAGGUCCACACAGGAGUCAGUAGAGCCUGCAUGGGAGUUUCUACAUCAAGCUUGCCUAAUCUACCUGGCUGUCUUUAAAUGAGACUUUUCCACAGUAGGAGUAAAACACCUCUCCAGUGCUCCUCUCUGCUAUCAGAAUAAAGUGAGUGGCAUAUAUUUGGGUAGUUUAGGA